AGGUUUUGUACCAUAACAUAACCGGCAACUAUUAGCAUUGUCCUUCUUUAUACUGGUCAUCAAACUACCGACCCGACCCCGUGGCAUGUCACCAUCAAUUGGCCAGGUGUCAAUAUAAUAGGCCUGGCGCAGCCACAUAGCCACGUGUUAAUACAAUAUCACAAUAAUACAAUACAAUUACACAACAAGCAUAAUAAUAG